rnacentral:rRNA from 1 species
UACGUAGGGGGCUAGCGUUGUCCGGAUUUAUUGGGCGUAAAGAGCGUGUAGGCGGUCCGGUAAGUCCGCUGUGAAAGUCGGGGGCUCAACCCUCGAAUGCCGGUGGAUACUGUCGGGCUAGAGUGCGGAAGAGGCGAGUGGAAUUCCUGGUGUAGCGGUGAAAUGCGCAGAUAUCGGGAGGAACACCUAUGGCGAAGGCAGCUCGCUGGGACGUUACUGACGCUGAGACGCGAAAGCGUGGGGAGCGAACAGG